GAUGAACGCUGGCGGCGUGCCUAAUACAUGCAAGUCGAGCGAACAGACGAGGAGCUUGCUCCUUUGACGUUAGCGGCGGACGGGUGAGUAACACGUGGGUAACCUACCUAUAAGACUGGGAUAACUUCGGGAAACCGGAGCUAAUACCGGAUAAUAUUUCGAACCGCAUGGUUCGAUAGUGAAAGAUGGCCCUGCUAUCACUUAUAGAUGGACCUGCGCCGUAUUAGCUAGUUGGUAAGGUAACGGCUUACCAAGGCAACGAUACGUAGCCGACCUGAGAGGGUGAUCGGCCACACUGGAACUGAGACACGGUCCAGACUCCUACGGGAGGCAGCAGUAGGGAAUCUUCCGCAAUGGGCGAAAGCCUGACGGAGCAACGCCGCGCGAGUGAUGAAGGUCUUCGGAUCGUAAAACUCUGUUAUUAGGGAAGAACAAACGUGUAAGUAACUGUGCACGUCUUGACGGUACCUAAUCAGAAAGCCACGGCUAACUACGUGCCAGCAGCCGCGGUAAUACGUAGGUGGCAAGCGUUAUCCGGAAUUAUCGGGCGUAAAGCGCGCGUAGGCGGUUUUUUAAGUCUGAUGUGAAAGCCCACGGCUCAACCGUGGAGGGUCAUUGGAAACUGGAAAACUUGAGUGCAGAAGAGGAAAGUGGAAUUCCAUGUGUAGCGGUGAAAUGCGCAGAGAUAUGGAGGAACACCAGUGGCGAAGGCGACUUUCUGGUCUGUAACUGACGCUGAUGUGCGAAAGCGUGGGGAUCAAACAGGAUUAGAUACCCUGGUAGUCCACGCCGUAAACGAUGAGUGCUAAGUGUUAGGGGGUUUCCGCCCCUUAGUGCUGCAGCUAACGCAUUAAGCACUCCGCCUGGGGAGUACGACCGCAAGGUUGAAACUCAAAGGAAUUGACGGGGACCCGCACAAGCGGUGGAGCAUGUGGUUUAAUUCGAAGCAACGCGAAGAACCUUACCAAAUCUUGACAUCCUUUGACCCUUCUAGAGAUAGAAGUUUCCCCUUCGGGGGACAAAGUGACAGGUGGUGCAUGGUUGUCGUCAGCUCGUGUCGUGAGAUGUUGGGUUAAGUCCCGCAACGAGCGCAACCCUUAAGCUUAGUUGCCAUCAUUAAGUUGGGCACUCUAAGUUGACUGCCGGUGACAAACCGGAGGAAGGUGGGGAUGACGUCAAAUCAUCAUGCCCCUUAUGAUUUGGGCUACACACGUGCUACAAUGGACAAUACAAAGGGCAGCGAAACCGCGAGGUCAAGCAAAUCCCAUAAAGUUGUUCUCAGUUCGGAUUGUAGUCUGCAACUCGACUACAUGAAGCUGGAAUCGCUAGUAAUCGUAGAUCAGCAUGCUACGGUGAAUACGUUCCCGGGUCU
rnacentral:rRNA from 1 species